UGCAAGUCGAACGAAGUAGCAAUACUUAGUGGCAGACGGGUGAGUAACAUGUAGGUAUCUACCCUUUGGCCUGGAAUAACACGAGGAAACUUGUGCUAAUACUGGAUAAGUCUUUACGGAGAAAGCUUUAUGCACCAUUGGAUGAGCCUGCACUUGAUUAGUUUGUUGGUAGGGUAAUGGCCUACCAAGACUUUGAUCAAUAGCUGAUUUGAGAGGAUGAUCAGCCACAUUGGGACUGAGACACGGCCCAAACUCCUACGGGAGGCAGCAGUGGGGAAUCUUGCACAAUGGAGGAAACUCUGAUGCAGCGAUGCCGCGUGAGUGAAGAAGGCCCUUGGGUUGUAAAGCUCUUUCGUCGGGGAAGAAAAUGACUGUACCCGAAUAAGAAGGUCCGGCUAACUUCGUGCCAGCAGCCGCGGUAAUACGAAGGGACCUAGCGUAGUUCGGAUUUACUGGGCUUAAAGAGUUCGUAGGUGGUUGAAAAAGUUGGUGGUGAAAUCCCAGAGCUUAACUCUGGAACUGCCAUCAAAACUUUUCAGCUAGAGUUUGAUAGAGGAAAGCAGAAUUUCUAGUGUAGAGGUGAAAUUCGUAGAUAUUAGAAAGAAUACCAAUUGCGAAGGCAGCUUUCUGGAUCAUUACUGACACUGAGGAACGAAAGCAUGGGUAGCGAAGAGGAUUAGAUACCCUCGUAGUCCAUGCCGUAAACGAUGUGUGUUAGACGUUGGGAAUUUAUUUUCAGUGUCGCAGCGAAAGCGAUAAACACACCGCCUGGGGAGUACGACCGCAAGGUUAAAACUCAAAUGAAUUGACGGGGACCCGCACAAGUAGUGAGCAUGUGGUUUAAUUCGAGAUACGCGCAGAACCUUACCACACUUGACAUGUUCGUCGCGACUUUA
rnacentral:rRNA from 1 species